rnacentral:piRNA from 1 species
GCUCAGUGGUACAAAUAACUUUACUUUCAAAU